rnacentral:rRNA from 1 species
UCGCAGGGCGAAGCCUGACGGAGCACGCCGCGUGAGCGAAGAAGGUCUUCGGAUUGUAAAGCUCUGUUGUUAAGGAAGAACAUCUAUGAGAGGGAAUGCUCAUAGAGUGACGGUACUUAAUGAGGAAGCCCCGGCUAACUACGUGCCAGCAGCCGCGGUAAUACGA